AUAUCUUUUUUCAUUAAUUAACUUUUACCUACAUCUUCACAUUGAUUGCAGAUUUGACAAAUAUAAUCGUAACAGUCUCGUCUCAUUACUAUGAUUACAUAACCUCAAAAUGUUUUACAUAACACGUGUAGUAAUAAUCCGUUUUAUCUAAUACAUACAAGAUAUACAAGUUCAGAUUGUCUUGAAAUUGUAUCAAUAUAAUCACGGCAGUGCUAUCUCAUUAUUGCGUUAAUGAAAUUUCAAAAUGUUUUACAUAACACAUACGAUAUAUACAUAACAUAUAAUAUGUCUUGACAUAUCCAUAUAUAAUCUGUUUUAUGUAAACAAAUGUAUACAAUUUCAGAUUGGUUUGAAAUUUUAUCAAUAUGAUAUUUGUAUCUCGUUAUGAUAAUAAUAAUGAAAUCUCAAGAUAUAUGUAUAGUAUAUACAAUAUGGACAUAAAUGUUUUUCAUGAGUAUGGAAUUCGUUAUGGGACGCAGUAUGCUCGGCGUAAUUAAUCAGGAUGAACGACACGGCGCAGUUGGAACGACGAGCGAUUAUUUAUGGGGCCCGGAACAAUUAUUUAUGCUCUCGAGUCGCUCCUUUGCUAUUAUUAAUGGUCUAGAACGCGUUGGACCCUUUAUCGGCUUUUUUACACCCCUUGCUAUGUAGGUGACCAUUAUUCGAGUGUUAAUAAUCGUCCUUACGCUUCCACAUCAUAUAUAUAAAAUUAUCGAAAUAAUCGAAGCAUCCUUAUACAAAACACAAGUGUCAAAA